UGAGUUGGACUAUGGAUCAGGUACUGUGCUCAGCAUCAGAAAAUGGGAUGACAAUGAACAGAGUAACAGGACUAUAUUUCUGAAAAAGGAUGAACUUACUGGAAACAGGAUUGCGUGCCUGAAAUAUAUCCAAAUGGAUAUAAAUGUCAACUCAGUUCUGGGCUGGAGAUAUAGAUUUGGAAUGCACCAACAAUGCAGAUGGUAAUCCUGGCAUGCGAGUAGGGCUCAAGCACCUCUUACUGCCUCCUCACUCUGGAACCAAAUGCCUUACUUGACAGGAUCACAGAAUGUGAAUUUUGAACAGAUCUGAAAAGUUAUUAAGUUCAACUCCACAGAGGUUCCUAGGAGAAUGUUAACAGUCCAGACCUUUUUCACUACAUCAACCACGGAUGAUUGGCAUAUAAAAUCCUACUUAACCUUUACAUAACUGCAAUACCAGGAAACAAAUAUGUCAAUAAAAGGAAACAUCAUUC
rnacentral:lncRNA from 10 species